AUGGCGGCGGUUUUGGAGUCGCUGCUGCGAGAGGAGGUGUCGGUGGAAGCAGCCGUGCGGUGGAUCGCGCGCAGCGCCCAGAGUUCGGAGGAUGACCCUGGGGAGGCGGCCGCGCUGAGCUCACUCCAGCCACUGCGGAAAGAAUUCGUACCGUUCCUGCUGAACUUCCUGAGAGAGCAGAGCAGCCGCGUCCUCCCGCAGGGCCCCCCAACCCCCGCCAAGGCCCCGGGCGCCUCGGCUGCCUUGCCCGGGAGGGCGGGAGGCCCGCCGCGGGGUAGCCGCGGGGCGCGCAGCCAGCUUUUCCCUCCGACCGAAGCCCCCAGCACCGCCGCCGAGGCCCCUCUGGCUCGCCGCGGGGGCAGGAGGCGGUGCCCGGGGCCGGCCCGCGAGCGAGGAGGCCGCGGCCCGGGGGCCCCGGAGGAGGGGUUCAGCGGGGAGAGCGUGCCCUGGGCCGGGGGCCGGAGGCUUAGGGGUUCUGGCAGCCCCAGCAGUCCCAGCCUCGCGCUCUCUGAUCCACCAAACCUCAGCAACCUGGAGGAGUUCCCUCCCGUAGGCUCGGUUCCUCCCGGCCCUGCAGGCAGGACGAAGCCUUCACGCAGGAUCAACCCAACUCCGGUGAGCGAAGAGCGGUCACUCUCCAAGCCCAAGACCUGCUUCACCUCACCCCCAAUCAGCUGUGUCCCCAGUUCCCAACCCUCAGCCCUGGACACUAGCCCUUGGGGCCUUGGCCUUCCCCCAGGGUGCAGAAGUCUGCAAGAGGAGCGGGAGAUGCUCAGGAAGGAGCGCUCUAAACAGUUGCUGCAGUCACCUGUCCCCACCUGUCCCACCCCAGAAUCGGGGUCGCCACUCCCCAGCCGGACAGGAAGCCUCACAGAUGAGCCUGCUGACCCUGCCAGAGUGUCUUCCUGCCAGCGCCUAGAGCUGGUAGCCCUUGUCUACUCCUCAUGCAUUGCUGAGAACCUGGUACCAAACCUCUUCUUGGAGCUUUUCUUCGUCCUUCAGCUCCUUACUGCGCGGAGGAUGGUGGCUGCCAAGCACAAUGACCAUGAACCGAGUCCAGAUGCCCUAGACUCCCUGGAAAAUCCGCUGUUUCAGAGCAUCCAUGAUUGUGUCUUCUUUGCAGUGCAGGUUUUGGAACAUCAGUUUCAGGUCCUUUCCCACCUGGACAAAGGGACCUUAAAGCUGCUGGCAGAGAAUGAGCGGCUGCUGUGCUUCUCACCAGCUCUGCAAGGCCGCCUUCGAGCUGCCUACGAAGGCAGUGCUGCCAAGGUGUCUCUUGCGAUGCCACCCUCUGCUCAAGCUGUCUCCUUUCAGCCAGAGACUGACAAUCGUGCCAACUUCUCCAGUGACCGAGCCUUUCACACUUUUAAAAAACAGAGGGACGUAUUUUAUGAGGUGCUUCGAGAGUGGGAAGAUCGUCAUGAGGAGCCCGGCUGGGAUUUUGAAAAGGGCUUGGGCAGCAGGAUCAGAGCCAUGAUGGGUCAACUCUCCGCAGCCUGCAACCACAGCCACUUUGUUCGCCUUUUCCAGAAACAACUUCUCCAGAUGUGUCAGCACCCUGGUGGUGCUGGGGCUGCUGUCUUGGGCGAGGCUCCAGAUGUGCUCAGCAUGCUGGGAGCUGACAAGCUGGGGCGGUUGCGACGUCUACAGGAACGGCUGGUGGCCCCUCAGAGCAGUGGGGGGCCAUGCCCGCCCCCCACCUUCCCAGGCUGUCAAGGCUUCUUUAGGGACUUCAUCCUUAGUGCCAGCAGCUUCCAGUUUAACCAGCAUCUCAUGGAUAGUCUGAGCUUGAAGAUCCGGGAGCUCAACGGCCUGGCCCUGCCCCAGCACGAGCCCAGUGACGACGGGGAGUCAGACGUGGACUGGCAGGGUGAACGGAGGCAAUUCGCUGUGGUGCUGCUUAGCCUGAGGCUUUUGGCUAAAUUCCUGGGCUUUGUGGCUUUCCUGCCAUACCGGGGGCCUGAACCACCCCCGACUGGUGAGCUUCAGGACUCCAUUCUGGCCCUGAGGAGCCAGGUCCCUCCGGUCCUGGAUGUGCGUGCUCUGCUGCAGCAGGGGCUGCGGGCCCGCCGGGCAGUGCUCACCGUGCCCUGGCUGGUGGAGUUCCUUUCCUUUGCCGACCACGUUGUCCCCUUGCUGGACUAUUACCGGAGCGUCUUCACUGUCCUGCUGCACCUGCACCGGAGCUUGGUCUUAUCACAGGAGAAUGAAGGGGAGAUGUGUUUCCUGAACAAGCUGCUGCUGCUUGCUGUCCUGGGCUGGCUUUUCCAGAUUCCCACAGUCCCUGAGGACUUGUUCUUUCUGGGAGAGAGUCAGUCGGAUCCCUUUGAGGUGGACACGGUAGCCUCAGAGCAUGGCUUGGACAGUGUGCCUGUGGUGGACCAGCAGCUGCUCUACACCUGCUGCCCCUACAUCGGAGAGCUCCGGAAACUGCUUGCUUCGUGGGUGUCUGGCAGCAGUGGACGGAGUGGGGGCUUCGUGAGGAAAAUCACCCCCACCACUACCACUGGCCUGGGAGCCCAGCCUCCCCAGACCGGCCAGGGGCUACAGGCACAGCUCGCCCAGGCCUUCUUCCACAACCAGCCACCCUCCCUGCGCAGGACUGUGGAGUUUGUGGCAGAGAGGAUUGGAUCAAACUGUGUCAAACACAUCAAGGCCACGCUGGUGGCAGAUCUGGUGCACCAGGCAGAGUUACUUCUCCAGGAGCAGCUGGUGACGCAGGGACAGGAAGGGGGAGAUCCAGCCCACCUGUUGGAGAUCUUGUGUUCCCAGCUGUGCCCCCACGGGGCCCAGGCGUUGACCCAGGGGCGGGAGUUCUGCCAAAGGAAGAGCCCUGGAGCCGUGCGGGCGCUGCUUCCAGAGGAGACCCCGGCAGCUGUUCUAAGCAGUGCAGAGAGCAUUGCCGUGGGGCUCGCGACAGAGAAAGCGUGUGCUUGGUUGUCUGCCAACAUCACAGCGCUGAUUAGGAGGGAGGUGAAGGUGGCAGUGAGUCGCACACUCCGAGCCCAGGGUCCGGAACCUGCUGCCUGGGGGGAGCGGAGGGGCUGCUCCCACGCCUGUGAGCACCACGCUCCCCUCCCCUCCCACCUCAUCUCCGAGAUCAAAGACGUGCUCUCCCUGGCCGUGGGGCCCCGAGACCCUGAGGAGGGAGUCUCCCCAGAGCAUCUGGAGCAGCUCUUAGGCCAGUUGGGCCAGACGCUGCGGUGUCGCCAGUUCCUGUGCCCGCCUGCUGAGCAACAUCUGGCGAAGUGCUCCGUGGAGUUAGCCUCCCUCCUUGUUGCAGACCAAAUUCCCGUCCUAGGGCCCCCUGCACAGCACAGGCUGGAGCGAGGGCAGGCGCGAAGGCUUCUGCUCAUGCUGCUUGCCCUGUGGAAGGAUGACUUUCAGGGGCCAGUUCCACUACAGCUACUGCUGAGCCCAAGAAACGUGGGGCUUCUGGCAGACACACGGCCAAGGGAGUGGGACCUGCUGCUGUUCCUGCUCCGGGAACUGGUGGAGAAGGGUCUGAUGGGACGGCUGGAGAUCGAGGCCUGCCUGGGCAGCCUCCGUGAGGCCCAAUGGCCAGGGGACUUCUCUGAAGAAUUAGCCACACUAUUUCAUCUGUUUCUGGCAGAGCCUCAUCUGCCAGAACCCCAGCUGAGAGUCUGUGAGCUGGUGCAGCCAAAUCGGGGGGCCGUGCUGGCCCAGAGCUAGGACUGAGGAGGGACCCCGCCUUGAACGUCUCACCAAAGCCCUGGAACCCUGCGUGGGCCUGAGGAGGAGGCCCGAGAGCCCAGUGCCACCCCAGGUGCCCAGUGCUGGCCCUUGCUGGUGCAAGCGUGGCUGGUUCUAUAUCCAGAACUCCUGCUCAGGGGGGAAGGAAACGGGGGCUGCUUGGCGUCCCACCAAUGCAGGCUCGCCGUCCGAAUCCUUGAGGUAGGAGCCUUCACCUGAUUCAGGAUUAUGGUGGAAGAGCCUAGAGACUCCAGCCCUGGAGCAGAAGAGUUGGCAUUCAUCACUUGGAUACUAAACAAAACAAGGGGUGUGGUCUUGUCGACACGGGAGUCAAGCCUCACUUGCUGCUAUUCCAGCAUCUCUUAAAACUGUGGUCUGGGAAAUCAUGACAGAGGUAAAUGACUUCUGCUUUAACUUGUGAGGAAAGUUAAAACAUGAAUUUUGUGAGUCUGCAUUUUUUUUUUUUUUUACCACCAGGAGCUGGACUGCCAGUUCCUUAAAAAUGCACAACAGAUAAGAUAGGACUCACCCAAGUGAAACCUGGCUUCACCCCUGUGCAGAGACAGAACCACACCUAAUAUCCCAGGAAGCUGAGGCUUAUGGCUGCUUCUUGACUUGUUCCAGAGGAUCCAGCUGAGGUGUGACAUGGGACCAGCAGGAGAGAAAAGCCUAAAGCUCUCAAAGAUGUUGGGAGCUGGCCUGGCUUAAGGCCCACUGAGCUAAAACCAAGUUCUUGGGAAUCUGGAAAUUUAACGUGGUCCUGGUGAAGGAAACUUCUCCUCGCCUGUGUGAGCCCUAAAAGCCACUAAGGAUUACAGAGACAGGCAGCUAAUGGACCAGGGAACUAAUCAGAUUCCUUCUCAUGUAUCUUGUCUCUACUAGUUGUCUAAACCAGCAGCUUUAAAGUGUGGUUCCCAGACCAGGGUCACCUGGGACAUAGAAAUACAAAUACUCGGGCCCCUCCCCAGGCCUACUGAAUGAGCAGCUUGGGUAGGGCCGAGCCUCAGGUGUUAACAAGGCCUUCAGGUGACACUGAUGUGUGCUACUAAUUUGAGAACCACCCAUCUAAAUCAAAAUCUGAUUCUCACUUUUAUGUUUUGCUACAAGAUCAAUUAAUAUUCAGACUUAACAAUCAGGUCUGGUGUGUGGCUUCUCUAGUAAGGGGCAUAAGGUCACCUCCUGGUUAUCCAUCCAUUGAGAGUCCUACAGCUGGCUCUGCACUGUGGUCAUGAUGAGAUGUAGCAGUGACUGUGUUGGAAUCCUCGUUCCCUGUCUUACUUGGGCUGUAACCGAACAACUGAUCUGGUUGCUGUUUACCUUACAAAGCAGUGCUGAGCUCACAGGAAGCACUUAGUACAUACAUGUAAACUGAAUAGCUUGAAACUGGGCCAUGAAU